rnacentral:rRNA from 1 species
UACGGAGGAUGCGAGCGUUAUCCGGAUUUAUUGGGUAUAAAGGGUGCGUAGGCGGGCUUUUAAGUCAGCGGUAAAAAUUCGGGGCUCAACCCCGUCCGGCCGUUGAAACUGGGGGCCUUGAGUGGGCGAGAAGAAGGCGGAAUGCGUGGUGUAGCGGUGAAAUGCAUAGAUAUCACGCAGAACCCCGAUUGCGAAGGCAGCCUUCCGGCGCCCUACUGACGCUGAGGCACGAAAGUGCGGGGAUCGAACAGG